rnacentral:rRNA from 1 species
UACAGAGACUGCAAGCGUUAUUCGGAUUCACUGGGCGUAAAGGGUGCGCAGGCGGCCAAGUGUGUUAGGCGUGAAAGCCUGAGGCUUAGCCUCAGAAUUGCACCUAAAACUACAUGGCUAGAGCAUUGGAGAGGGUAGCGGAAUUCACGGUGUAGCAGUGAAAUGCGUAGAUAUCGUGAGGAACACCAGAGGCGAAGGCGGCUACCUGGACAAUUGCUGACGCUCAGGCACGAAAGCGUGGGGAGCAAAAGGG